rnacentral:ncRNA from 1 species
CGAAAGGGAAUCAAACUGUGAGGGAAUCCUGAGUACCGCGGGACACGUGAAACCCCGUGGGAAGCAGGGAGGACCACCUCCCAAGGCUAAAUACUUCUUAGCGACCGAUAGCGAACAAGUACCGUGAGGGAAAGGUGAAAAGCACCUCGGAAGAGGAGUGAAAGAGAACCUGAAACCGUGCGCUUACAAGCAGUCAGAGCUCGAGGUUCGUGGUUCGAGAUUCGAAAUUCGAUGAAUGUGUUCUUAUGAAGCGAUAAAACGAGGUGCGACGAAGUCGUAUUUCGGGUCAAGACCGCAGAGGAAUACAAAAAAUCGAACAUCGUACAUCGAACCACGAACUUCGAGUCAUGGCGUGCCUUUUGUAGAAUGAACCGGCGAGUUAUGGUAUGUAGCGAGGUUAAGGCGAGAAGCUGGAGCCGAAGCGAAAGCGAGUCUGAAAAGGGCGACGAGUUACAUGCUGUAGACCCGAAACCGUGUGAUCUACCCAUGGCCAGGGUGAAGGUGGGGUAAAACCUACUGGAGGCCCGAACUCACUGUCGUUGAAAAGGCAGGGGAUGAGCUGUGGGUAGGGGUGAAAUGCCAAUCGAACACGGAGAUAGCUGGUUCUCCCCGAAAUAGCUUUAGGGCUAGCCUCAAUUGAUGAGCAAUGGCGGUAGAGCACUGAAUAGGCUAGGGGCCUUACCAGGUUACCGAACCUUAUCAAACUCCGAAUGCCAUUGGAUUUAGAUUGGGAGUCAGACUGUGGGGGAUAAGCUUCAUAGUCGAAAGGGAAACAGCCCAGACCAUCAGCUAAGGUCCCUAAGUAUACACUAAGUGGGAAAGGAUGUGGAAUUGCACAGACAACCAGGAUGUUGGCUCAGAAGCAGCCACCAUUUAAAGAGUGCGUAAUAGCUCACUGGUCGAGUGGUUCUGCGCCGAAAAUGUAACGGGGCUCAAGUGUAUCACCGAAGCUAUGGCUUUAUCGAGGUUCGAGAUUCGAGAUUCGAAGUUCGAAAGAGGGAAAGCGAUGAUUAAAAGCUACAAGGACUUAGAAGUCUAUAAAAAGUCUUAUGAGACAGCUUUGAAACUACAUCGAAUGACCUUAGAAUAUUUCCAAAGCAUGAGUUAUAUGAACUAGGAAGUCAGAUGCGUAGAGCAGCAACAUCCAUUCCUCUGAAUAUAGCAGAGGGAUAUGGACGAAAAAGCACUGCAGCUGAUUUUAAGGCCUUCUUAAGAAUUGCCUUGGGAUCAUGUAAUGAAGUGAUGGUAUUGAUAGAAAUGAUCAAAGAUCUUGGGUACUUGGAAAACGACGUUUUCCAAGAGCUAAGCGAGACUUACGAUCAUAUUGCAAGACAAAUCUAUCGCUUAUUAGACAACUGGAAAUAAUCGAACAUCGUGCAUCGAAUAUCGAACCUCGAUAAGGGGUAGGGGAGCGUUCUAAAUGCAGCGAAGUUAGACCGUAAGGACUAGUGGAGCGUUUAGAAGUGAGAAUGCCGGUAUGAGUAUGCGAAAAGACAAGUGAGAAUCUUGUCCGCCGAAAAUCUAAGGAUUCCUGGGGAAGGCUCGUCCGCCCAGGGUAAGUCGGGACCUAAGCCGAGGCCGAAAGGCGUAGGUGAUGGACAACUGGUUGACAUUCCAGUACCACCGAGAAGCGUUUGAGCAAUGGGGUGACACAGAAGGAUAGGUUAAGCGUGCCGUUGG